UACGUAGGGGGCAAGCGUUGUCCGGAUUUAUUGGGCGUAAAGAGCGUGUAGGCGGCCAGACAGGUCCGUUGUGAAAACUCGAGGCUCAACCUCGAGACGUCGACGGAAACCGUCUGGCUAGAGUCCGGAAGAGGAGUGUGGAAUUCCUGGCGUAGCGGUGAAAUGCGCAGAUAUCAGGAAGAACACCUAUGGCGAAGGCAGCACUCUGGGACGGUACUGACGCUGAGACGCGAAAACGUGGGGAGCGAACAGG
rnacentral:rRNA from 1 species